rnacentral:rRNA from 1 species
UACGUGAGGGUCCGAGCGUUGUCCGGAAUUAUUGGGCGUAAAGGGCUCGUAGGCGGUUUGUCGCGUCGGGAGUGAAAUCCACUGGCUUAACUGGUGGCUUGCUUUCGAUACGGGCAGACUGGAGGCAUGCAGGGGAGAACGGAAUUCCUGGUGUAGCGGUGAAAUGCGCAGAUAUCAGGAGGAACACCGGUGGCGAAGGCGGUUCUCUGGGCAUGUCCUGACGCUGAGGAGCGAAAGUGUGGGAGGCGAACAGG